rnacentral:snoRNA from 1 species
AUCUGGUAAGGUGUGAUGACUGGGCUUUCAUCACAUUGUGUGGAAUGUGCCUUCUUCAGACCUUGUUAUGACAUUGNUGUAUUGCUUUUCUGUGG